GGUUUAUGUCAACAGGACCAGAUCUGGAACCAGGUUAAGGUCAACAGGACCAGAUCUGGAACCAGGUUAAGGUCAACAGGACCAGAUCUGGAACCAGGUUAAGGUCAACAGGACCAGAUCUGUAACCAGGUUAAGGUCAACAGGGUGGAAGAUACAAGGCUGUUUGUUUCUUCAGGGGAGAAUAAAACUUCUAAAAAAUACAACUGGA